rnacentral:lncRNA from 1 species
GCAUAAGUAGGUGAUGCUGGUUUCCUUCUAGGAGCCAUCUAAAAAAAAUUUAAAUAAAUUUAAUCAAUUAUGACGACAUAUUAAAAAAAUUGUUCCGUUACCUAACUAAUCACCUAAACUAUAGUAUUCCAUCAUCUAACUAAUCACCUAAACUAAUUAUCUAACUAAUCACCUAAACUAAUUACCUAACUUAUUAAUAACCUAAACUAACUUAAAAAAAAUAAAAAAGGAGGAAAGAGAGUGUACCUUAGAGGGAGAG